AGAUUGAACGCUGGCGGCAUGCCUAACACAUGCAAGUCGAGCGGCAGCGCGGGGGCGACCCUGGCGGCGAGCGGCGGACGGGUGAGUAAGGCAUCGGAAUCUGCCCUGAUGUGGGGGAUAACGUAGGGAAACUUACGCUAAUACCGCAUACGACCGAGAGGUGAAAGCGGGGGACCGAAAGGCCUCGCGCAGCAGGAUGAGCCGAUGUCCGAUUAGCUGGUUGGUGGGGUAACGGCCCACCAAGGCGACGAUCGGUAGCUGGUCUGAGAGGAUGAUCAGCCACGACUGGGACUGAGACCACGGCCCAGACGUCCUACGGGAGGCAGC
rnacentral:rRNA from 1 species